GAUUAUAUGUGUGUCUAAACAAUUCAGAACAAUUGCCAAAUCUCACAAUUCAAAUCAUGGAAAGGGAUACCGUAACCAUAAUCGAAUUCGAGAAUCUAAUUUUCACAAUCGCUAUCUUUUUAAAAUCUUUCUUAGUGCAAGCAUUUCGUCACAGUCAUUUUCAUGAAGGAGGGAAUCUUAUGACACUUAGAUUUUAAUGGUGUAUGUGUUCCUAUCCUAGUUGGUCUUUGUCUUAUCCUAUACAUCACAACUUACCACAUUUGAUGAAUGCUAUAAACCUUCUUAAUACUUUUCACUCAAUGUCACAAUCUUAACUCUAAGACUUGUUUUGGAACGAAGUAUGAUUGACUUCUUGAUUUAACCAUUUCUUCAAUUCUUGAUUCCUCUUCUUAGACAUACAAUUGUACUAAGACUCACUUAGAGGAUCAAUUGAGAUAUGGUUCUUAAUCAUUAAGACCUAUCAUAAAGCAUAAAAGGUACUCUCCCUUCUUCUUAGAAUGGAUAAACUUUUAUCUUUCUACCUACUUGAUUCUUCUUAUUCAUUCUGCUAUUCAUUAAAAAUUUUCGAUCAAUUCAAAAUUACACUUAAUCUUAUAAGUAUAUGAUGGGUUUUAGCUAUAAGAACAUCCUAUAUGCUCAUACAAACCCUAAUGCUUGGAUCUAGGUUUCUCUAUUGUACAUGCAAGUUAUCCAAGACUAUAAACCCUAUGUCUAGCAUACAAGUAAUCAGAUGAACAUAAGAAUGGGUUUAAGUUAUUACCUUGAUUGUUAUGUAGCAAUAACAAUCCCAAAUCCUUCUUGUAUUGACUUUAGAAAGCUUAGAGUCACAAAUGUCACUCCUCUAAUGGUUCACAAACACCAAGAGCAAGAGGAUGAGGAGGAGAGAGGAUGGAGGCUGCCCAAAACGUGUUCUAACCCUAGAAAACAAGUUCCCCACGUUUUUGAGCCUUAAGGGUUCUAUAUAUAGUGAGGCUAUUAGGGUUAUCUAACAAGGAAACCCUAAUUUGGAUGCUUAAGCCCUAAGCAACCCAUGGACUCCUUUCCUUAAGGCCUUGGACGAUUUCUUAUGGGUUUCCCCAUAAUAUUUGUCCACUCCUUAAUAUAAGGCAAUCCAUAGCCCAAAUUGCAGUUAUCUUAUAAUUACAAUUCCAGUCCCUUAAGUUUAAUUAAUCUCUUUUAGUCACAAAACUAAUUACCAAUUAAUUAUUGACUAAUAUUAAUUAAACAAUAUGAUUUCUCCUUUAAUAUAUUAUUCUCAUAAUAUAUUAAUAAAUCAUAUUUAAUCCUUUCUCUCCAUAAUUCAUCCUAUCAAGUUGCUUUGGUGAAGGCAACCCAAAAGGACCAUGCACCAUCGGGUCAAGUACAUACCAAAAUAGUUAUGGACUUAGACACUAAUCCAACAGUCUCCCACUUGGAUAAGUCUAAUAACUAUUAUGCGUAUGACUUCAGAUCCUGAUCUGCAAUCGUAGCUUUCCAAAGCCGCUGUCAACUCUGAUCCUAUCAGAUACGCGUGUCCUUUAGAUAAGGGAUCAUAUAUUCCUCCAUUCUAGAUAUCGUAUAAGACAUGAUUUCUAAUCAUUCUCUUUGUACUAUUUCUCGACUUCCGAUUUAUGACGACUGACUAAUUGAACAAAUCAAAUUAGCCCUAGCCCGGCCGAGCAUUUUCGUUUGUCAUCAUUAAAUCAUCGAGGGGCCUAAAGAUAUCGCUUUUAUCCUACUUCAGAUAAAAGGAACGGAUAAAAUUUGAUACAAUGCUUGCUUGCACUCACUCACCGAAUUACACACAACAAUAUGUUUUAUAACACCAAGUUACUAGUGCGUUUACAUGUUAUCAAUGUGCAACCGAUUUGGAAGAUACAACUCAUACAUCUCGGUGUCAAGAAUAUAAGAUGUUAUCGUCUCACCAAUCACUCGUGAUACAAUCCAUGGAGUGAUCCAAGUGAGCGUGGGUUUAAUCCAAUGCUCAAAUCAUAUUCAUAAGCACUCAUGAACGUUGCAGCAAACAUUUGCUUAUGUCUAAUACUCUUUAGACAAUCCACACACCAAUUCACGACAGUCUUCAUUCAUAUCUACUUCCAACAUAUGAACGACUGUGGCCCGUUCGAAUAAUUUGACUGUUCUAAACCAAUUAAAUUAUUCAGGAAGUGAAAACAUGCAAAGUCAAACACAAGAAUAAUAAUAACCCCAUAUGCCUCAAACCUUUGAGCAUAAAUAAAGCACCUUUUAUUUAUCACCAUAUCGAUUACUCAUUAUUUGUUGUUUCGGGUAAUCAAUUUCUUACUUGAAUUAUUACACUUAUCCCAGGCUCCGAGCAUGCACACAAUGUUUACCUAUGGUUCUUACUUUGUGAAAUAGAUCAAAUGAACACAUUUCCAAUCAUACUCAUUUCCUAACUCCAAAUCCUUUUUCAUAAAUGAAAAGAAUAUCAAAUUCUUGCCACUUAUGGAAUAUGCUAGAUUCUAACUUUUUAUGCAAUGAUCCUUUCCUAAUGUCAUAGCAAAAAAGUCACAAAGACUAUUGCCAAUGAAAUUACAAAGUCCUCUAUCGGAAAUUGUUACAAUACAAUUCCUAAGAUAUGAUGUCUCUCACUCAAAGUACAUUCCUUUGAACAUCCUUUUGCAUAAAAGUUUCUAAUCUAGACAUAGAUUUUCAAUAUUCAAUUCCCAAUAUGGACACGCUUCCAUAUUUUCCAUAUGACAACUCAUUCUUAAUAGAAUCUUAUCUAUUCAUAAUAAUGUCGAUAUGGUCCAUCCAAUACUAUACUUCCAACUACUCACAAGCGACCAAUCCUCGGCGAACUUUGGAUUGUCCUUUGAUAGUUGUUUAAUUAUCUUAGUCAAAACCGAUUCUUGUCCUUUUUCCCUCUAAAUGCGCUAGACAUUUGGAAAAUUUUAGAAUGGUCAAAUAUUAUAGCAUUUGCAAUCGAUCCUAUACCCGAAGCGUAUGGGACACGAUGCAUAAUGUCUUACAUAAAGAUUUGAUACUUUAUCAAUCUUCUGCCAUAAUAUUUUAUGUGCUACGUUCUCAAAAUUCGAACUAUGAAGAGGAAUGCCGUAAUCAUAAUCGAAAUUUGAGAACACACUAUGUUUCCUUGACUAAAUUAUUAACAUUCCAAAACCUAAGCCUUUAGAUUUGAAAUGAAGCAUAAUAUUCUCUCCCCUAAUUAUAGCAAAAUAACUUUACAACUCUUGCAACUUUGCAAAGUAUCACUCUUGUUUUCUAUAUUUAAUAUUGCUAAUUUGCAAUACUUGCCAUAAUCAUACAAUCAUAACAUUUAUGCUCCCACUAUCAUGAUGAUUAUUAUAAAAAUAACACUUAUGCUCCCACUAGCUUUGACAUGUAUUCAGAAACNCUUCUAGAAAAUCAAUACUUAUUGAAUUUCUUAAGUUCAUGUUUCUAAUACUUAAUGCUUUUAUAAUCCUUUAUCUAAGCUCAUACACCUUUCCUUUAGAUAGCUCAUAUGUGUUUCUAAACAAUUUAGACUAAUUGCCAAACUUCACAAUUCGAAUCAUGGAAAGGGAAACCGAAACCAUAAUCGAAUUGGAGAAUACAAUUUUCACAAUCACUAUCUUCUUAAAAUCUAUCUUAGUGAAAGCAUUUCCUCACAGUCAUUUUCAUGAAGGAGGGAAUCUUAUGACACUUAGAUUUUAAUGGUGUAUACGUUCCUAUCCAUGUGAAUUUGUUAAAACCAAAGUUAACGACAAAUUCAAACUCAUAUGGACCGAACUUUCUUAAUCUUGAUUUCUUGCCUUAUGGUAGCACAGCUGCCCACCAUGUCUUCCAAGUAGUUAAGCAGCUCACCUUUUCCUAUCAAUGUACCUUUCAUUGAUUAAGGUGCUUUGCCUUUUAUGCGUUCAAAAUGAGAACUCAUAGAACUCACAUGCAUAAUUAACUCGAUUGGAUUGGCACAGAAACAAAAUAAUGUCAACACGAUAGGUUGUAAACCUCAACUCGUGUGCUAGUGAUGAUCGAUAAGGUUUAUUUGAUUUGUUCUUGAAACCUUUCAAGACCAUUAAGACUCCCACUGACUCCUUGACAUAUAAGAUUCUCUUGUCAAUAAACAUUUCUUGACAAACAAAUAUUCAAGAGUUAGUGUAGUUUUUAUCAAAACACUUCAUAAAUUGGUCCUAGUUGGUCUUUGUCUUAUCCAAGACAUCACAACUUUCCACAUUUGAUGAAUGUUAUAAACCUUCUUAAUACUUUUCACUCAAUGUCACAAUCUUAACUCUAAGACUUUUUUUGGAACGAAGUAUGAUUGACUUCUUGAUUUAACCAUUUCUUCAAUUCUUGAUUCCUCUUCUUAGACAUACAAUUGUACUAAGACUCACUUAGAGGAUCAAUUGAGAUAUGGUUCUUAAUCAUUAAGACCUAUCAUAAAGCAUAAAAGGUACUCUCCCAUCUUCUUAGAAUGGAGAAACUUUUAUCUUUCUGCCUACUUGAUUCUUCUUAUUCGUUCUGCUAUUGAUCUAAACCCUUUAAUCAAUUCAGGACUAUACUUAAUAUUAUGAGUAUAAUCAUAUUUACUAAACCUUUAGUAAAUCGUGACGAAUAUCUUUGUUACUCUUAUGCUGUACUUGAUCAACACACAACUUGUGUACUUGAUCUCCUAGUCCUUCACGUGACUCUUUGUCAAUGAAUAUGUCCAAUUUCCAAAUAUGAAAUUUCUCAUUCAUCGUGCAACCAAGUUGCAUGAUUCCAAAUUUCUGUCCAAUUGAAACUUGGCCGAUGAGAAACUUUUCCUAUUUGGUAAAUUGUCGACAUUUUCAUAAAUAAGAAUCAUAUCCAUUCGUUGUAGAAAUAUGCAAACAUCAAUUUUCAUAACGAUUUCAUUGCAAGGAAAUAAACAAAUAAAUAAAUAAGUCAAACCAAAAUUUAUUUUAUUUAUAAAAGCAGCGGAAAACAUUUGUCCUUACAAUGCAAAAUCCAUUGAAAACUAUGUAUUUCAAAAGAAAAUUUUCUAACAACUCUAUCAUAACUAUCUAAGCUCAAAAUCUAAUCUUCAAGUCCAUGCGAUCAAGAUCCAUUCCUUGUGAUUAGAUUCAUCUUGCUCUUUCACCAAGCUUCCUUUCUUUUCACCGAUCCUGUAAAACAUUCAAAUGCAAUCUUAUUACAUUAUGUAUUAAGAAUUAAUGAAUAGGAACUUAAUGGAGUUAGAUAGUGGAUUUUACCUGAAGCACAGCCAUACUCUUUGACUCUCCCAUCUUCUGGACUCUUCAGGCUCUUUGGGCAGACUUGUAUCCAACGCCCUUUCUUUUGGCAGCAAACGCAGGUCGGUUCUCCUAGAACGUCCUCAGAAGCAUGGUUGGUUGACUUUCCCAACAAAUACGCUCCAUUGCUUCGCCAAAUCAUUUCUGAUUCAGCAGCAAUGAGCAUGUAAGUUAGGUCAAUGAGGUUAUCGUCAAUGAGGUUAUCGUCAUGAACCCAGUUCAAAGCUAACUUAUCGGGGAAUGACACACCCAACAUAAUCAACCUAUCGAUGUGUGAUAUCAUUCCUAGAACGUGGGCACACACAGAUUUACCAUCUUCAUAUUUCAUUUCCAAUAGGGCUUUAGUGAUAUUGAACCUUUCAAUUCUUCGAUCUUGUGGGUUAGGGAGAACAAUAGGAGGAGGAGGAGGAAGUGAAGCAUGAUUUCUCGUUCCUCGAUUGAAUCGUGGAAUACCAUCUUCAUGUGGAAUGCUUGUUCCACGGGAUUUGGGAAGACCAUAGUUGUCGAACUUUGACAUCUACAAAACGGGAGAAAACGAAUUCAAGUUAGUUGAUUGAUUGAGUCCUUAGUAAAUCACCCAAAUGAGAUACUAAGGCUAGGACCCAACACAAUAUUCUACAACUCGGGAGAGGGAUGCCGUAACCCAAAUUGCAGAACAUUUGAAGGUAAGUGAAUGACGAUUCACUAAUUUCCACCAUGAAAAACGAAAAAGAAAUUUAAGUUUUAAAUCUAUGAAAACUCCUAGAUCCUUUGAGAUUCAUUGAACUUUCAAUGGCAUGUUUAAAUCUCGAUAUGCCCCUCUUGUUUGUGACUGGGAUGCCGAGGAUCACAAAGCGGGUGUGAAUAACCAUGCAAACUUACAUGGUGCCCUCACAUGUUACAGUCACCUAUUCGAUGUGCCGGUAAACCACACACGCUCCACCGAACUAUGACAAACAUUGAGUCACCCUUUGCUACCUUUGCUUAGAACCAUUUAGUGUGCCGGUAAACCACACACGCUCCACUAACGUCUUCGCAAGGGCACAAAGUGUAAUUUCAUGGAAUUGCAUCAAUUCACUUUUGCCUAAGUAACUAAGAUUGGGAAUUUUAUGAAAACAUUUAGUUACUUUUAUACUUCAUUAUACUUAUAAUGGAAGGUUUCGUCCUAUCCUACCCGUUCGGCUAACGACCCUCCACUAGUCAAGAGUGCGGUGGGUAAGAGUGGAUACCCAUUCAAUCGCCAUUUUAUAGGCAAUUUCCUUAAACACCCCUUAUAGACCAGCUUCGUGAAUGAGGCCUACUAACGGUAAGACUGACUUUUACUCAUACAUAUAUAUAAUGUUAGACUUUUAAUGUUAUAUAUAGUAUAGGGUGUAUUUUACACUUUUAAAAUACUAGGUGGUCAAAUUUAACAAUUAUACUUUUAAUUCAAUUAAAUUGUAAACCUAAACUUUUAUGGAUUUAUUAAACCUCUUUUAAUUAUACACCUUAAUUAAUUAAUAAAACCAUAAGGGUGUGAUUUGAACUUUUUCAAAACUAUACUAGAGUUUUAGAAUUUAACAUUCCUAAUUAAACUUUUAAUCAACUUUUAAAUUCCAAAACUUGAGGGCAAGUUUUGAAACAUUUCAACACAUUAGGGUUUAGAAUUUAAAUAUACAUCAAAAUUAAACUAUUUAAUCAAAAUUUAAAUUCCAAAACUUGAGGGCAAGUUUUGAAACCUUUUUCAAAACAUUAGGGUUUCAACUAUUUAAAUUUCAAAACAACAAAACUUUUGGGUUCAAAUUUAAACUAUAAAACCUAAGGGGAAAAAUAUGAAACUUUUCAUAACAACAAGGAUCAAAUAACAAAUAAUUCAAAUUAACAUUUAAUCACAUAAUUAUCCAUAUUUGAUUUAUUUAAUGAUUUCUUGCAAAACAAUUUAUCAAUUUACUCAAAAUAAUUAAUCAAUUAUCUUAUAAGGAAACAAUUAUCUUAUUAAUUGAUAAAUAUCUUCAAUUAGAUCAAAAAUAUAGUCAAAUAUAUCAUAUAAUCGGAUUAAUAUUGAUCUAACAUGAUAAGGUAAUUAUCCCAAUGCAAAAACAGCAAGAAAUCCCGAGAUAAGCACUAUCUGACGCACCGACUCGCCGAGUCACCCUCUGGAACUCGCCGAGUAGGGCUGACUCGCCGAGUCCAAGAGUGACUCGCCGAGUCAGGUCGAACAGUGAGGCCAAAACACGAUUUUCAGUUACAUCAAGCAUCAAUACAAUAGAAACCAAUCAUGGCUCUGAUACCACUGAUGGGUUUUGGUCAUAAGACAUCCUAUGUGCUCAUACAAACCCUAAAGCUUGGAUCUAGGUUUCUCUAUUGUACAUGCAAGUUAUCCAAGACUAUAAACCCUAUGUCUUGCAUACAAGUAAUCAUAUGAACAUAAGAAUGGGUUUAAGUUAUUACCUUGAUUGUUAUAUAGCAAUAACAAUCCCAAAUCCUUCUUGUAUUGACUUUAGAAAGCUUAGAGUCACAAAUGUCACUCCUCUAAUGGUUCACAAACACCAAGAGCAAGAGGAUGAGGAGGAGAGAGGAUGGAGGCUGCCCAAAACGUGUUCUAACCCUAGAAGAGAAGUUCCCCACGUUUUUUAUCAUUAACGGUUCUAUAUAUAGUGAGGUUAUUAGGGUUAUCUAACAAGGAAACCCUAAUUUGGAUGCUUAAGCCCUAAGCAACCCAUGGACCCCUUUCCUUAAGGCCUUGGACGAUUUCUUAUGGGUUUCCCCAUAGAAUUCGUCCACUCCUUAAUAUAAGGCAAUCCAUAGCCCAAAUUGCAAUUAUCUUAUAAUUACAAUUCCAGUCCCUUAAGUUUAAUUAAUCUCUUUUAGUCACAAAACUAAUUACCAAUUAAUUAUUGACUAAUAUUAAUUAAACAAUAUGAUUUCUCCUUUAAUAUAUUAUUCUCAUAAUAUAUUAACAAAUCAUAUUUAAUCCUUCCUCUCCAUAAUUCAUCCUAUCAAGUUGCUUUGGUGAAGGCAACCCAAAAGGACCAUCCACCAUCGGGUCAAGUACAUACUAAAAUAGUUAUGGGCUUAGACACUAAUCCAAGAGUAUAAUCAUAUUUACUUAACUUUUAGUAAAUCAUGACGAAUAUCUUGUUACUCUGAUGGUGGACUUGAUCAACACGCAACUUUGUGUACUCGAUCUCCUAGUCCUUCACUUGACACUUUGUCAAUGAAUUAGUCUAAUUUCCAAAUAUGAAAUUUCUCAUUCAUCGUGCAACCAAGUUGCAUGAUUCCAAGUUUCUGUCCAAUUGAAACUUGGGCGAUGAGAAACUCUCCCUAUUUGGUAAAUUCUCGACAUUUCCACAAACAACAUAAUUAAGAAUCAAAUCCAUUAUUUCUAAUAUUAGAAACCCUCAAACAUCAAUUUUCAUGCAUGCCAUUGCAAGGAUAAAUAAAUAAUAUAAAAUCAAAAUUUAUUUUAUUGCGGAAAAAUUUGUCCUUACAAUGCAAUUCAUUGAUAAACUAUGCUAAUACAUAUUUCUAAUUCUAACUCUAAGUAGUAGCUCAAGAAUCUAAUCUUCAAGUAAUGCGAUCGAAAUCCAUUCCUUCACGGUUAGAUUCUGCUCACUUCUUCCCUUAAGCUUCCUUUCUUUUCUUCGAUCCUACAACACAUCAAUUGUAAUCUUAUCACAUUAUGUAUUAAGAAUCUAGAAUAGGAGCUUAAAAGAGUUAGUCAAUGGAUUUUUCCUAAAGCAGAGCCAUACGUUUUGACUAUCCCAUCUCUUAGAUCUCUUAGGUAAAUAGGGCAGCUUCGUCUCCAAUGCCCCUUCUCUUGGCAAUAGAAGCAAAUUGACUCUUUUGGAAC
rnacentral:lncRNA from 1 species